GGACGUGAAACCGAUGAGAUGGAAACGGACAGAGCUAGCGUAUCUGGCUUGCAUUCAGCUGAUGCGGUCGCUACCGAUGCGUCGCUGACCUCCAGAUUGGGGCUUUGACUAGUCGGUCGGUGGCUGUGUUGUGCAUUUGCAAGUGGAGUGCGUCGAGGCAUCUGGGAUGGCGGAAUGAACUUGGCUUUGAGGCCAGCUUGCUGGUACCCGGGCCUGGGGAGUUCUGUUCGUUCUAGGUGUUUUUGCGGUCGAACAAGGCUUUGCGAGCCUGGUUGGGUGCCGAGCUGGGUGUCGGUGGCGGUCGCAUGCGACACGUACUGUGCCACCAGUUCGGUCCUGGGCGAGCUCACUCCAUGUUCAAUCUCGGCGUAAAAGCUGGUCAUCUUUCCGACCCGUCUUGAAACACGGACCAAGGAGUUUAUCGUGUGCGCGAGUCAUUGGGCGUUGAAAACCCAAAGGCGCAAUGAAAGUAAAUGUAUCCGCUCGGAACUGAUGUGCGACCCUGGUCACUGCGGUGGCCAGGAGCAGCAUGGCCCCAUCCUGACUGCUUGCAGUGGGGUGGAGGAAGAGCGUACGCGAUGAGACCCGAAAGAUGCUGAACUAUUCCUGAGCAGAUAAAGCCAGAGGAAACUCUGGUGGAAGUCCGAAGCGAUUCUGACGUGCAAAUCGAUCGUCUGACUUGGGUAUAGGGGCGAAAGACUAAUCGAACCAUCU
rnacentral:rRNA from 1 species